AUAUGCCCGGUCAAGAUGUGUUCGGGUCAAUCAAAUCGUUUGGGCAGGCUUAAUAAUAAUUAGGAAUAGAUGAGCAACAGUGAAGCAGUCAUCCAUGUCA